rnacentral:rRNA from 1 species
GCGUGAGUGAUGAAGGCCUUCGGGUUGUAAAGCUCUUUUGUCAGGGACGAUGAUGACGGUACCUGACGAAUAAGCUCCGGCUAACUUCGUGCCAGCAGCCGCGGUAAUACGAGGGGAGCUAGCGUUGUUCGGAAUUACUGGGCGUAAAGGGCGUGUAGGCGGUACCAUAAGUCAGAUGUGAAAGCCCUAGGCUUAACCUAGGAGGUGCAUUUGAUACUGUGGAACUAGAGAUCUAGAGAGGAAAGUGGAAUUACGAGUGUAGAGGUGAAAUUCGU